GACGAACGCUGGCGGCGUGCUUAACACAUGCAAGUCGAACGGUGAAGGGACCGGUUUUUGCUGGUUCUGGAUGAGUGGCGAACGGGGGAGUAACACGUGAGUAACCUGCCCCCUUCUUCUGGAUAACCGCAUGAAAGCGUGGCUAAUACGGGAUAUUCUGCGCCUGCUGCAUGGAGGGUGUGGGCAAGAUAUUGUUUCGGUGGGGGAUGGGCUGGCGGACUACCAGGUUGUUGGGGGGGGGAUGGCCUAACACGGCGAUGAGUGGUAGCCGGCCUGGGAGGGUGGGCGGUCACAGUGCGGCUGAGAGGCGGCGAAUACUCCUACGGGAGGCAGCGGUGGAGAUUAUUGCACGGGGGGAGGAAGCCUGAUGCAGCGACGCCGCGUGGGAGAUGGAGGCCUGCUGGUUGUAAACCUCUUUCGCGAGUGAAGCAGGCCUGUCCCUUUUGUGGGUGGGUUGACGGUAGCUGGAGAAGAAGCGCCGGCUAACUACGUG
rnacentral:rRNA from 1 species